GACGAACGCUGGCGGCGUGCUUAACACAUGCAAGUCGAACGGUGAAGGAGAGCUUGCUCUCCGGAUCAGUGGCGAACGGGUGAGUAACACGUGGGCAACCUGCCCCAGACUUCGGGAUAACGCUUCGAAAGAGGUGCUAAUACCGGAUACGAACUCCUUGGGCAUCCUUGGAGUUGGAAAGUUUUUCGGUCUGGGAUGGGCCCGCGGCCUAUCAGCUUGUUGGUGAGGUAACGGCUCACCAAGGCGACGACGGGUAGCCGGCCUGAGAGGGCGACCGGCCACAGUGGGAAUGGGACACGGCCCAGACUCCUACGGGAGGCAGCAGUGGGGAAUAUUGCGCAGUGGGCGAAAGCCUGACGCAGCAACGCCGCGUGAGGGAUGACGGCCUUCGGGUUGUAAACCUCUUUCAGCAGGGAAGAAGCGAAAGUGACGGUACCUGCAGAAGAAGCACCGGCUAACUACGUGCCAGCCGCCGCCGUAACAC
rnacentral:rRNA from 1 species